ACCUUGUUUGACCAUUGAUGG
rnacentral:misc_RNA from 1 species